rnacentral:rRNA from 1 species
UACGGGGGGGGCAAGCGUUGUUCGGAAUUACUGGGCGUAAAGGGCUCGUAGGUGGCCAACUAAGUCAGACGUGAAAUCCCCAGGCUCAACUUGGGAACUGCGUCUGAUACUGGAUGGCUUGAAUUCGGGAGAGGGAUGCAGAAUUCCAGGUGUAGCGGUGAAAUGCGUAGAGAUCAGGAAGAACAUCGGUGGCGAAGGCGCUCUGCUGGACCAUAACUGACACUCAGGGACGAAAGCUAGGGGAGCGAAUGGG